CAGCCCAGUUUGGAAGAAGCGCUACUAUUGUUGGUGAAAGGCCACGGUACAUUCCCCUGAAACCUUCAGAACGCAUUAUGUCUUGUAGGCUAGUGAUAAUAAUACUACCUCCUCGUUGACCAGAUGGAAGACCAUGCACUUGCAGCCUCGUCUUGAUGACAUCUAAGGGGCAAACGAACGUGGCUGCUAUAGAACCUGCGGCAGCACCGGCACCGGCGUUGCAGAUCAAAUCCCUAGUGCUUCGAGG
rnacentral:misc_RNA from 1 species